CAGGGAGCAGGGCGGGAGGCGGCCGCGGGGCAGCGCCCCCCGCCUGAGGAGCUGCAGGCCACCUGCGCGCUGGCUUGGCGAGACCGGCCGGCGGGGGGCGUUGGGCUGCCGGCCGCCCCGGGCCGGUGGCUGGGAGGCCCCGGCUCGCCUCACCCACCUCCCCAGGCCGAGAGAGCGGCCUCCGGGGAGGGCGAGGGAAGGUGAGGGAAGUCCCUGCCGUCGGCUCGGCGGGACACCAGCUCCCGGGCGUGGCAAGGGGCUGUAAGGCCGUGGCGCCGCCAAAACCGCGCCGGGGCGACGGAAAUAGCUGAAGCAAAUUCCCAAGGCAGCAGUCCGAAAUCAGGGAGGAAGGGCCAACUCCUCCGCCACUGCAUGGAGAACGCAGCACUGCAGGGCAGAGUAAGCCCACCAGGACCUUCUUCAUCAGAGCAAACAGUGCCAGCAUAGUUACCUACGUGAACAGCCUCAAAGCUGCAGUAACCUCUAGCUUUCAUCAGCACCAUCCCUGACUUCCUGGCACCUUGAUGGCUCCCAGAGUACCAGAAUACUGUGGCUUCACCCCCUUUUUCCCAGAGCAACAGCAGCUGUGCUGAACUUGGGAGGGGCUCGACCCCUUCGGAGUUCUACAUUGCAGCACAGCCUUCUGCCAAAGCUCCUCUGCUGGCCCCUGCCAUGAAAACACUACUGCAAAUUUUUUAUUUGCUAAUUGCUAGAUGUAACUAUGCCUCAGAUUUCUUUUUUCAAUCUAUCUACACAUGCAAAGAGUGGAAUGUACCAUUUUUUUAUGCACACAUGCUUCAUUGCCAGAGUCUACAAGUAUUCACCACAGGAAGCAGGAAGGAAAAGGCUAAGAUCACAACAGGAAGGAGGGGGAAGAUUUCAAGGUGUGGAGACACAACGAAAAGAAACUCAGGGGAGGCUGACCUGAUAAAAAGCAGAGUAAAAUAAUCCCUCCCUUUCAUCUGCCCCCUCUUGAGUAAGGGUGGGCAAUGCCUGCAGGUUGGGGAGGAGAAUAGGUUGGGAACAAAGAUUAAAGACCAUAAAACAGGAUGGGGCAUAUGGCAGGGGAAUGAAAGAGGACCGCAGGCGUGCAGACGCAGAGUGGUUGGAGAUGGAUCCCUAAAAUAAGCGAAAAGGAACAGGGGAAAAAAAAAAGUAGUCAUUUGGGUAUUGGGAGAAAAAUGGGAAACGAAUAGAAAGCUGAAAGUAAAAUACUAAGCAAAGAAACCUCCAGCAAAGAUGGAGGUGCCAUUUUUGUAUCAUGUUACACCAGAUGAGGAAAUACCAUGAGAAAAUCCAUACACUGAAUUUGACAAGGAAGGAGACUAUUUAACAGGGAAGGACUUCUGUCUAGGGGUUUGAAACAUCUGGCAGUAGACAUAAAAUAAUCACAGAUGGUGUCUCACCAGUCUGGGAGAGGACGUACUUUUGGCCCACAGAGACUAAUGGUAUUAAUUUCUUUCCUUCCUUCUUUUCUCUCAGUCUCUUUUUCCUUUUCCCCAGUUUUUUUUUUUCUUUGUUCCUUCCUUUCCUUCCCUCCCCAUCUCCCUUCUUCCUUCCUUCCAACAAUUGUUUAAAACUCCAUCGCUACUCUUGAUAUGAAUUACAAGAGCUAGAAAUGCCAUCUUAUUCUAUUAGCAUUGGUAACAUGCAUAUACUUAUCAGUAGAUACAAAUUAUUUUAAUGGAUGUUUUUGCUUGUUUUUUUAACAAAGCAAUAGUGGGACCACACUCCUCUCCUUUCAAAUUCUUCCUUCAGGAGAACUUUCUUAUCUCUUUGUUAAUAAAUUGCUAACAAGGAAAGCUACCAUCAGCAGUAUGGAAAAUGCCAAAUCAAAUGUUGGUCGAAUCACCCUAAAUUAAUGAUAUUAAGUGAAAGAAACCUUGAGUGACAUUCCUAUUUAACUUUUUUUUAAAAUUCUUAAUAAAGGAUUACAAAAUCUCUGAAA